rnacentral:rRNA from 1 species
CGCUGGCGGCAGGUCUACACAUGCCAGUCAGAGCGCUGUAGCAAUACAGAGCGGCGCACGGGUGAGUAACACGUGGGAACGUGCCCUUUGGUUCGGAAUAACUCAGGGAAACUUGAGCUAAUACCGGAUGAGCCCUAACGGGGAAAGAUUUAUCGCCGAAGGAGCGGCCCGCGUUGGAUUAGCUAGUUGGUGGGGUAAAAGCCUACCAAGGCAACGGAUCCAUAGCUUGGUUUGAGAGAACGACCAGCCACACUUGGGACUGAGACACGGCCCAGACUCCUACGGGAGGCAGCAGUGGGGAAUCUUGGACAAUGGGGGAAACCCUGAUCCAGCCAUGCCGCGUGAGUGAUGAAGGCCCUAGGGUUGUAAAACUCUUUCGGCGGGGACGAUAAUGACGGUACCCGCAGAAGAAGCUCCGGCUAACUUCGUGCCAGCAGCCGCGGUAAUACGAAGGGGGCUAGCGUUGUUCGGAAUUCUGGGCGUAAAGCGCGCGCAGGCGGUCCUUCAAGUCAGAGGUGAAAGCCCAGAGCUCACUCUGGAACGGCCUUUGAACUAGAGGACUAGGGUCGGGAGAGGUGAGUGGAAUUCCGAGUGUAGAGGUGAAAUUCGUAGAUAUUCGGAAAACACCAGUGGCGAAGGCGGCUACUGCCCGUUACCGACGUCAGGGGGCAGCGUGGGGACAAACAGGAUUAGAUCCCUGGUAGUCCACGCGUAACCGAUGGAUGCUAGCCGUUGUAAGCAUGCUUAUCAGUGGGCAGCUAACGCAUUAGCGUCCGCUUGGGAGUACGGCCGCAAGGUUAAACUCAAAGGAAUUGACGGGGCCGCACAAGCGGUGGAGCAUGUGGUUUAAUUCGACGCAACGCGCAGAACCUUACCAGGGUUUGACAUCCCGCGCUAAACUCAGAGAUGGGUGGUCCCCGCAAGGGGCGCGGAGACAGGUGCUGCAUGGCUGUCGUCAGCUCGUGUCGUGAGAUGUUGGGUUAAGUCCCGCAACGAGCGCAACCCUCUCCUUUAGUUGCCAUCAUUCAGUUGGGCACUCUAAAGGGACCGCCGGCGACAAGCCGGAGGAAGGUGGGGAUGACGUCAAGUCCUCAUGGCCCUUACACCCUGGGCUACACACGUGCUACAAUGGCGGUGACAGUGGGCAGCGACCACGCGAGUGGAUGCGAAUCCCAAAAAACCGUCCCAGUUCAGAUUGCACUCUGCAACUCGAGUGCAUGAAGGUGGAAUCGCUAGUAAUCGCAGAACAGCAGGCUGCGGUGAAUACGUUCCCGGGCCUUGUACACACCGCCCGUCACACCAUGGGAGUUGGUUCUACCUGAAGACGGUGCGCUAACCGCAAGGAGGCAGCCGGGCCACGUAGGGC